GAUCGUGCAUUCGAUCUUUCAAAAAAAUCGUCCAUAUGUACACCCUCCAAUUAGGUUCAACCACGUGUUAUCCUUCGCGCACAUGUUGAAGUGUCGAAGAAGUUAAGAAAAGCUAAAAUUAGUGUUGGUUGAUCCUCAUCCACCAAUAAUGUGGCAGUCAACACCUUUAAAAAAUAAAAAAAGCUCGCUAGGUCAAAUACCACAAAAUGACUUAGGCGAAAGUCAAGGCAUCCUGAUGGACCGAAAGUUUCAAAGAAG
rnacentral:lncRNA from 1 species